AUGCCCUCUAUUUAUAUCAAUAUUAUAUUGGCAUAUACCAUAGCACUACUGGGAGUAUUAGUCUAUCGAUCCCACCUAAUAUCAUCCCUAUUAUGCCUAGAAGCCAUCAUACUAUCAAUAUUUAUCAUAAUUACUCUUACAACUUUAAAUAUACAUUUCAUUCUAGCAUCCAUAACACCCAUCAUCCUCCUAGUAUUUGCUGCCUGUGAAGCCGCAGUUCUUGCCUUACUAGUUUCAAUCUCUAACACAUAUGGUCUAGAUUACGUACAAAACCUACACUUACUUCAA
rnacentral:lncRNA from 1 species